rnacentral:rRNA from 1 species
AGCAGCCGCGGUAAUUCCAGCUCCAAUAGCGUAUAUUAAAGUUGUUGCAGUUAAAAGCUCGUAGUUGAAUUUCGGGAUCAAUAUUUCGGUCAUGCCGUUGGUAUGCACUGUUAUCAUUGAUUUCUCACCUUCUAAAGAACCGUAAUGCCAUUAAUUUGGUGUUACGGGGAAUUAGGACUGUUACCUUGAAAAAUUAGAGUGUUUAAAGCAGGCUCACGCUUGAAUACAUUAGCAUGGAAUAAUGAAAUAGGACAUCCGAUUCUAUUUUGUUGGUUUCUAGGAUCGAUGUAAUGAUUAAUAGGGAUAGUUGGGGGCAUUAGUAUUCAAUUGUCAGAGGUGAAAUUCUUGGAUUUAUGAAGACUAACUACCGCGAAAGCAUUUGCCAAGGAUGUUUUCAUUAAUCAAGAACGAAAGUUAGGGAUCGAAGACGAUCAGAUACCGUCGUAGUCU